AACGAACGCUGGCGGCAGGCUUAACACAUGCAAGUCGAGCGCGCGCUUUCGGGCGUGAGCGGCGGACGGGUGAGUAACGCGUGGGAACGUGCCCUUUUCUCCGGAAUAGCCCUGGGAAACCGGGAGUAAUGCCGGAUACGCCCAUUUCGAGUGGAUCGGGAUGGGGAAAGAUUUAUCGGGGAAGGAUCGGCCCGCGUUGGAUUAGGUAGUUGGUGGGGUAACGGCCUACCAAGCCGACGAUCCAUAGCUGGUUUGAGAGGAUGAUCAGCCACACUGGGACUGAGACACGGCCCAGACUCCUACGGGAGGCAGCAGUGGGGAAUCUUGGACAAUGGGGGCAACCCUGAUCCAGCCAUGCCGCGUGAGCGAUGAAGGCCUUAGGGUUGUAAAGCUCUUUCAGCGGGGAAGAUAAUGACGGUACCCGCAGAAGAAGCCCCGGCUAACUCCGUGCCAGCCGCCGCGGUAACAC
rnacentral:rRNA from 1 species